AUGCGCCACACGCACACUGCGGUUUUUAGGUGCGCCGUCCGCAACCAUCUGGCACCUGCUCGCCAGGUGUCAUCAGCC
rnacentral:sRNA from 1 species